CGGCGGAGCGCAGGGUGGGCUCCGGAGCGGGUCCCCCUGGGAAGCGCAGCGGUCGCGCCCAGGGCGCAGGCCCGCCCAGGAGGCGAGGCGGCAGCAGGGGCCGCAGGAUGAUCUCGGUGUGGAAGAAGCUCUAUUCCUCCUUGUUACAACAAACGUGACAUCAUGCCGGGCCGUCUGGGGUGCAAAGAACCGCCCAGCACCCCCAAAUUUAGUUGCGUCUGCCAAGCGCCGCCGUUGUUCUAAUCCAGCCCCGCUGCUUCGCCUUCCAAAAGGAAGAGGCUGCUGCAGAAACCUCGCCCCUUCCAUGCGAAAGGGCAGCCCCGCCUCGUUCCUGCUCCCAGCCUGGUCCGCGGGGCAGGCGGGACUACAACCGGUGCAGCUGACCCGCCCUCCGCGCGUGGCGGGGAAAGGCUCCCCCUCCCCCAGCAAGGGACGCACCUGCUUCCCCCAGGACGGGGUGAGGAUGGAGAGCAGGGCGUUGCUAUAGGCCAGCAGGCACUGCCAGGCUGCUUGGGUGCCGCAGCCCAACUUCUCGCCGGGAGGCCUCCCCUGGCCAGGGAGCAUCAGUAAUACCUAGGUAUAUAUGUAUUUUGUUUUUCUAGCUUGAUCCAAAUUAUUUAUUAUUUCAUAACAGGUAGAUAGUUAAGACCUUGGGUGGCUUCAGCGGCAGGCACCUGGCACCCCGCAGAAAUCAGUGCCCGGGUGCCCCACCCCCCCUUGCACCCCUGGGUAAAGAUGGCCCCAUUCCGGAGUGGGUCCCCUUGGAAGAGAGUGAUUGCGCCCAGGGCAGGCUCACCCAGGAGCCACAGGAUCAGCAGAUCCAGGUGUGGAAGCUCUAUUCCUCCUUAUUACAACAAACAUGAUAUCAUCAUCAUCAUUUAUUUAUACCCCACCCAUCCGGCUGGGUUUCCCAGCCACUCUGGGCGGCUUACAACAAAGAUUAAAAAUACAUUAAAACAUCCGUCAUUCAAAACUUCCCUAAACAGGGCUGCCUUCAGAUGUCGUUUAAAAGUCAGGUAGUUGCUUAUUGCCUUGACAUCUGCUGGGAGGGCGUUCCACAGGGUGGGCACCACCACCAAGAAGGCCCUCUGCCUGGUUCCCUGUAACUUCGCUUCUUGCCGGAGAGGGACCCUGGCGUCCGGGGUGGAGGUACUCCUUCAGGUCUACUGGGCCAAGGCCAUUGAGGGCUUUCAAGGUCAGCACCGACCCUUUGAAUUUGUGCUCGGAAACGUACUGGGAGCCAACUUAGGUCUUUCAAGACCGGUGUCAUGUGGUCCUGGCAGCCACUCCCAGUCCCCAGUCUGGCUGCCGCAUUCUGGAUUAAUUGCAGUUUCCGUGUCACCUUCAAAGGCAGCCCCACGUAGAGCACGUUGCAGUAGUCCAAGCGCGAGAUAACUAAAGCAUGCACCACUCUGGCCAGACAGUCUGCGGGCAGGGAGGGUCUCAGCCUGCGUCCCAGAUGGAGCUGCCCUGGACACAGAAUUGACCUACGCCUCCAUGGACAGAGGUAAGUCCAAAAUGACUCCCAGGCUGUGCACCUGGUCCUUCAAGAACAGUUACCCCGUUCAGGACCAGGGAGUCCUCCACACCAGCCUCUCCCCUGUCCCCCAAUAACAGUACUUCUGUCUUGUCAGGAUUCAACCUCAAUCUGUUAGCCGCCAUCCAACCGCCUCCAGACACUCACACAGGAUCUUCACUGGUUCUGCUUUGAAAGACCGCGCCAUGUGGGAAUCCUUUGCAGAUGACUGCCAGUGCCUGGAGACAGAUGGUCAGGUGGUGCAUCCACAGCAGUGACCAGAGGAGGAAUGACAGCUGGGAGGAGCGCAGAGAGAGGCACUGCCAUAGUGCACCUGCAGCAGCCAAAGCGGACACUUUCCUCUGCCCCAGCUGCAGCAAAACAUGUCCAUCCAGUAUCAGUCUGUACACAGACACAGCAGGCGCUGUAACUUUGACAUCACUCAUGAAGGUGAAGGUGUUAAAGCUGUCUGUGGUUCUCCAAAAAAAUAAUAGGUGCUCAAACUUUUUUCCGUGGACCGACACUUUCAGAAUAAAAUAAAAUAAAAAUACUUACUGUAUUUUUCCGUGUAUAAGAUUCCCCCUAUUUUGGGGGACUCAGAAUUAAGAAAAUGGGGGGACAUUGCCCCUGUGUAUAAGACUAUCCCCCUUUUAACGUUUUUAGUAAAAAAAUCCUAGUCUUAUACACGGAAAAGUAUAGUAAUUUUUUUACUGAUAACGGAAACAUUGGAAAACAGCUAGGAUCGUCCUCAUUGUCACUUGAUGGUCUUGCUCUCAUUUUGAAAAUACGUUUAUCCAUAUUCUACAAUCAAUCAAUCAAUUGAUAGCAUACUAUACUGCACUGAAAUGUUUAAAUGCUUCUUUGACACAUGCCAUUCUCUCCUGCCGCCACACCAUUUGAGAGCCACGGUUGGAGACCACACGGGGGGGGGGGAGGCCCCUUGCUAGUAUUUUGGUCAGGGGUGAAAAGAAGGUGGUGGGGCGAAAUACAAGGGUUCCCUUUGGGUGGGGGCUGGGGGGUAUCCUUUUGGCUGCCCUAGUUAUGCCCACCCCCCAGGUGAGAUCAGGGAAAGGGAGGGGUGUUGUGAUGGUUGUUGAGAAGCCAGACUGAAGGAGGUGACUGAAACCACCUGUUGCCAACACAGAAUGACUUUGUGCAAGGAUUAAUUAGUGCACGUUUAUAGUAUGUGACCCAGCUAAUACAAACUGUGUGCACUUCUGUUUUUAGCCUCUGUGGAAAAAAGUGUUAUGCACUUUAUUUGUUACUACUGCCACAUACUGGCUGCUGGUUAUUUAACUGUUUAUAUUUGAUGGUACUGGAAAUGUUUAUCAUUAUGUUCCCACAGACCAAGGCUCCUUUGGGAUCAAGGUCAGGAACUAAUUUUAACAAGCAAAUAUCCAAUUCUGAUUUAUAUGGUCCAUGGGGUCACGAAGAGUCGGAAACAACAACAACAACAACAACAACAACAACAACAGACAUCAAUUGAUAUGUUUUCAUGAUUGAAAGUUUAUUUUAUCAUGAAUUAAAAUAUAACAUCCAUAUUAUCAAAAUGAAUUAUUUAUUUGGAUUGCCAUAUUAUGUUUUGAAAUAAAUUAGCAUUUAAACUGUUAUUGUUAAUGAUGUAUUGAUUUGUAUUUUUUAUUGUUAUGUCGUGAGUGGAAUAGCAGCAUGGAAACUGAAAUAAUAAAAGCAGUUUAUUUAGCAAUUUAAUAACUUGCAUUUCAGGGAAUUAGAUUAGAUGCCCUUGGAGUCCUUUUCAAUUCUGUGAUUUUAUGAUUCUACCCAAUCUUAUCUACCCAAUCAAGUCAGAGCUGUAUUGAAGGACCCCACAAAUAUAUCUGUCUUAUUAUCUAAAUGUGCAGACUAAAGAAAUGGUUACUUUGAUACCUUGCCACUUGCCCCAGAGAGCAAGGAAAAUAAAGCAUUUACCAUUUUCAACAGAGAUGGCCAUAGACAUAUUAACACUAACUUAAUCUACAGUAUGUAAUCCAAAGAAAAACCAGAAUUCCCACAUCCUCAAGAACAGUGAAAUGGUUGGGAAAUGUAAAACAUCAGCAUCAAUAUGAAAAAUGCUUUGUUAUUCCCU